GUGUUUUUCUUCUCCAUUCUUGUCACACAAACACCUCCUGUGUGGGUAAUGUUGGCCGUAGGACGUUUUGUUCACAGAGAGAAAAUAAUACAAGAUGGCAAGUCAGUCAAGUCAAUACUCUUCUCAAGUAUUAAAUAAACAAAUAAAGCAACAACCUUUUUAUAAUAUCCACUCACACCUUGCUCUUAUUUCUAAACUCCUAACCCAUGACUCCAAACAACCCCAAGUGCUCAACAUACCCUUAAAAUAGGAUUUGGGUUGUACUAUUAUGGAUACACUAGGUGUAAAACAUAAAAUUCACAAGAAACAACACAUAACACAGUAGUCCAGACUACUUGGACACACAAAUACAUGAAACCCUUAACAAUACACAGGACAGACAUUCAUUAGGUCUUCUAUACCUGGUUGCCAUUUUUAGCAUUAGCCUUAGGCUCUGAUAACCUCCCCUCUCAGCAUUCCAGCAAUGGUAUGUUCCACUAGCUAAGUUUCAGGCAUAUUACCAGUCUCCUAUGUGUUUGCAACCUUUUGACCUUUCUGAGGACCCCCUACAAACAAGUAGGCACUGGCUUCUCCUCUCAUGCAGUGCUGUUAAGAGGGCAAUCUAGCUGCGCUGCGGCAGCUGGCUACAUCAUUGUCAACCUGUCUCUCUGCAGCGGCUGCUGCAGAAUUUCAUCACCUGGACACUUGGAGCACCUGGAGUCAGUUCGCCACCAUGCCUGUCCAGAACGGUGAAGAUGAAUUCAUUUGAAAGGAAGAGAAGUGGGCAAGGGGUGGGGCAAAGUUGUUAUGGAAGCCGCCUUGGCACAGAAUCGUCUCCACACUAAAAGGACGAUCAUGGACAGAUGGAAGCAGGAUGUUAUACAUAGCUUUGGGGAUGCUUUAAAAAGGAAGCCAGGAACUGACAAGGACAAGCACAGUCGACCAGAGAAGAGAAGACAAACACAGUGCUUCAAGCCAGCUGCGUGUUCUCACACUGCAGUGCUGGAACUCCAGAAGUAGUCUCAGCAGUGUUUAUUUUUUAUCCCUUUAUUUCAUCAGAAAAAGUCAAUUGAGAACAAAUUCUCAUUUGCAAUAACAGUUUGUGGAUCCAUUUAUUUAUAUAGCAUGAUGUUUACUGAGUAAUUUGAGUAAAGAUAUAAACAGCAGUGUUCCACCCAGGGCUUGAACCUGGGGCCCUGUUGUCAAGGGUAGUAGCCACUACUUCAUGCUGCUUGCUCAUGUACCUCCACUGGGACUCUCCUAUCCAUUGCAGCAUAACAGCUAGGCCUGAAUUCCAGCUCCAAGGAUUAUUCAAACACAAGCAGCACAAUUAUGCUUUACUUAUUAUUGUUGCUACUACAUCUUUUCUUCUUGUUGGUAACAAUGCAAAGAAUAAUUGCUAUUACAGUAACUAUUAUAAUAGCAAUCACUGAUAAAAUGUCAUGUAUAUAAUAUUUGGCUUUCAGGUUGCUAUGCGUGCAUAUAAAGCAAAUGAGAAUUAAACUCAUGUUACUCAUGUUCAUGACAACAUUAAACUUCAAUGUACACAAAGAAA